rnacentral:misc_RNA from 1 species
AUAGUCUGCAAAGUCUCUUUUCAAAAUGAUAGACAAAGAAGCUGUUCAAUUUACCUGAUUUUUCAUCCUUAGAACUAUUGCAAACCGGAAUUCAAUCAAUGCAAAUGUUCUCCAGGCUAACAAAUCGUUCGAAACGAGACACGGACGAUGAAAAACGACAACGAUUGUGGAAUUUACAACGAAAACAACAAGAAGAACAACUAAAAUUCUUAUGUGAAACGAAUCGGCAGGAAAGUCUAUUUAAAAGAAUUGAUUUUGAUGAAAAAAUAAAUCAUAGAUCAUCGACCAGCGAAUUUGGUUCACCUAAAAAAUCGCCAUUAGCUGAACAAGUGGUUGACGUAAGUACCUAGAAUGUCUUAGAUACCUUUUUAUGAAUCAUAUCCGUUUAGCUUUCACAAGAGGCACAUGUAAAUAUUGUUUUAUAGAAUGAUUCAGAUUGUUAAGACUUUAAACAAGAGGCCUAUGGUGAUCUAAAAUUUCAUCUUUUGUAUAUUAUUGAAUUUUUUGUAAACAAACGAUCGAGAGGUGGAGACACCAAUUGUUAGAUGCUUGAAGAGGUUUUAAGUAACUAUAUAAUAAAUUUACUACUAGAACGUUCAUACAAGAUCUUCUUUAGAAAAUAUUUUAUUUAUCUAUUCAAAGAUAGAAUAAUUCAACUUUAUUCUAGAUAUUGAAUCUAAGAUUAAAGUAGAAAGAAAUAAAUUUUAUUAAAAAACAGAUAUAUUUUAUUUAUAUUCCUUAGUGAAUGUUUUAUUUAAGGUUAGCCGGUAAGAACGCGUUGAACCUUUCAAAUUUCGAUAAGAUAAACAAUUUUUACUCUAAAUCCAAAGAACAAAAAAGAAAUAGAACAUAUAUUAAAAAUUGUUCCAUUAAUUAAUAUUUUGUUUACAUUAAACUAAACAAUAAAUAUUUUUUUAUAUUAUAAAUUUAAAAAGGAAAUGUGACCUCGUUAUAAUAUAUUUUUGUAGGGUGAAUCAUACUUUUUCCUUAAAUAAUAGAAAAAAGUUGGAAGUAGUGCUUGCUUUGUGUGUUCCGGAGUUCUUUUUCUUUUGCUCUUAACAACCUUUAAAAGUGCGUGCAAUUCCAAACGAAUUUCAAAAUAAAUACUAAAGUUUGUAGGCUAACCUAUUUUUCUAUUUACCUAUCGUUAGAAGUAUAUAAGAUUACUUUUUUAGUUGUGACUGAACCUGACAAGCUACAAAUGAUUAAUAGAUAACUAUAAAAUUUUACAACUAAUAUGAAUUAAUAAGAGACUAGAGAGACAAAACAAUAAAGAAAACGUUCGAAAGCAAAUAUUAUAUUUAUAAAUAGACAAAGUGUCUGUUAAAAAGUUAAUUUUUAUUUCUCUCUUUCUACUACUAUCGUUAAACUUUAUAUGGUCUAAAAUAUUAGAACCAAUUUUAAAGAUUUUCUAAGCGCUUUCUUCGAUAUUGUGUGUGAUUUCGUGAGCACGAAAAAAUUUUAUGCUUGACUUGACAGAGACUCCAGAAUAAUCUGAAUAAAUAGUAUUUAGGACCGUUUAGAGUAGAAGGAGAUGAUGAACAAACAAGAGCUGAGUUUGUCCAGUCAAAAUUGCAAAAUACUAAUACAAGUCGAGCGUCAACUCCAGUUGUUCUAGUCAUAUCCGUUGCUGGUAUAGAAGCCUGGAAUAGGAACUUGAAUGGUCAAAAAGCGCAUUUACACUUAUCCUAUCCCCUUCGUCGAAUUUCAUACGCCCUUUGCGAUCCAGAUCUUCGUCUUUAUGCAUUUUUAGCUAGAGAAUCAAACGAUCCACCCACAGAACAAUGUUGUCAUGUCUUUCUUACUCAAACCGGUGAAGAGGCCGAAAGAAUGAGUAUGAUAACCGGAAAUGCUUUCAGUCUCGCUUAUGCAUUCUUGCAAAAGCAAGAUAAAGAUGAGCAGACGACUUUUCACGAGGCCGUUAGUAAAAAUAUAGACGAAAAUCGUCGAAUGAUGGAAGAAAGAAAUGAAAAGCAAGAUGAGUUAAAGAAACAAGUCUUGGGAUAUAUCUCUAACACCCAAACAGCCAGCGAAAGGAUGAAAGAUAGAAAAAAAUUCAAAGAACGGCAAUUGACCGAUGAAUGUAAAGAAAUAAGAGAAGGUUUUCGACAAUCAGGUCGAAGUAAGUGGGCUAAAAAGGAAGUAAAAAGAGUUCAGCAUAAACGGCCUUUUAGCUCCGGUGAAAAAGAUAAGAUUAACACACCAACUAUUACGUCUGCUCCGUCACCCUUGAUUAACGAUGUUCGAGAGGCAUUUCAGUCUCUGGAGUCAGCCAAUAGAAGUCCUGUAACCUGCUUAAAAGACACAAUCGAUGCUCAUUUUGAAAAUUAUGAGAGAUCAAUGCUUGAACAACAGCAAAGGGAAGAAGAGCGACGACAAUCUAUUCUUUCUAUAGUAGAAAAUAGUAUGACAUCCGAACAAGAAAGCUCAUCGUCAACUUCUAGGUCUAUUCGAAAUAGACCACUUCCCGAUGCUCCCUCGACUGGAAGUAGCUCACUAGAGAAAUCUGGUUCUGAUAGAAUUAGGAACGGAUCGGGAGAUCAUAAGGAUUUGAAUGAUAUAGAGCUUAUUAAACGACCCUCAUCCCCUCGACGAUCAACUUCAAUUACACCUCCCCCACUUCCGCCCAGAGAAAACAGACCAUCAACUAUUGAGACUAGUUCAACAGAAUUUGAAUUUUUUGCUCCAGAAUCUGACGAGGAAGGAAGGAGAUUAUCGGAUAAUGGCGUUACUCAAAAUUCCAAGGCUUCCAUUGAUGAAGACUUUACACAAUAUCCAUGGUUCUAUUCCGGUGUUCCAAGAGAAUCAAUUCUUGAAUUUUUAUCACAGCAAGAAUUUGGCUCAUUUGUCAUCAGGGAAAGUACGUCUGAAAUUGGUUGCUUUGCUCUGUCCUUAAAAGUGCCAAACUAUAGUGCCUCUCCAGGAGAACCUCGUUUUAUUUUAAAACAUUACCUAAUCGAGAAGACUCCGUGCGGAAGGUAUAGGUUUCAAAAAGGUCCUGACAAAGAAUGGGCGACUCUUGCCUCUUUAGUUACUCAUUUAACUGUGUUGAAAGAAGUACUACCAGUAGAACUUCGUCUACCUAGAACUGCUAGAAAUCCUUCAUUUAAAUUUUCUAUACAACCUGAGUUAAGAAUACGUCGGAGGGUGGAGGAUUCAGAUGAUGCUGAUGAUGAAGAUGAAGAAGCAGAUAUAAGGCAGGGAAUAUCCUCUAUAGAAGUUGCAUCGCCUUAUUAAAUCUACAACUGAAAGUCUUCCGCGGAUAGGAACUGUGCAAUAAUUGCAAAACAGCGUGAAUUUAUUACUACUGUGAAUACAUAUAUACAGUAUAUAUAUAUACUAAUAUAUAUAUGUAGGUACACAGUAUACUCCAAUGUAUAUAUAGGUACAUAAGUAGUACCAAAUGUCUAGUCGACUCAUAUCAAGGUAUUUCUUUGCUAUAAAAAAUAUAUAGCUAUCCAACUCUUGAGUAGAAAUUGAAACUUGAAAAGAAAAUUCUUGUUCAACGAUUAUAAACAAACAAUACUUAUCAGCAUUAACUCGUUAGCCUAAUUAAUUUUAAAAAAAUUAGAUAUUUGUUAGAUAUAUUUUAUUAAUAUAUUUCAAAUACUCCUUGAUUAUCAAUGCGUUUUUUUACUGUUAAUGCUGCGUCCAGUAAAAUGAAAUACGUCAAAAAAGAAAAGAAAACAUUUUA